rnacentral:rRNA from 1 species
AACCUUCUGAACUUUUCUCAAGGUGACCUCGAUCAGUAGAUGCCAU